AAGUGUGCCACCUACUGAAUCACAGAAACCACUUCCUGUGGCUGUUUGGUUUAUUCUGGAGGCACCAGGCCAGAGCCUGCCCUGCCCUGACCCUUGCCUAGCUCUCCAGAGCCAAGGCGUUCACAGCUUGAGGUGGUUUGGCCUGGGACUCUUGAGAACAUUGCAUAUUAAAUUACAAGUGUUUCGUUUCCUAGCAAGAAGUCUUUAGCAACAUGAAAAGGAGCGUGUGUUAUUUGCAAACCGUCUGAACCAUUACUCAACCUGAAUAUCCCUAACUUUUUGCAAGGUGGGCCUGGAGAUUCCACUGUGCCUCAGUGUGUACAUGGUCUUCCAAGCAGUAAAGUUCCAGAAAGGCAGUUCUGCGUGUAGGUCAAUACUGCAAGUCCUGAGGAUCGCUUCUGAAGGUGAAAAGGCUCGGCUCCUCAGGAUGCAUCCGAAUCCCUAAUGGCAGAGAACCACCACUCGUGGGCCCACUGAUGACUGCGGGUCCUGAUGCAGUGAGUCAUUGGCCCAGAUGGAUAAACAGAAGCGAACUGGAGAUAAAGGCCAGCUUCAGGACCACACAUUUCAGUCACCCAGUGAGAAACAAAGACCGCCAGUCUUCCUGCCCUUCAACAAUAAAGAUCUAUGAAGCUCUCGCUGUCAACAAGAGUUCUGGAAAGAUUACCCUGGCUGGAAGGCACAAUGGGUCCACCCUCUGCACCACGGACUCUGCUUCCAAACUAAACCAAACCAAGACAUCAAGAAAUGUAUCUGUACUGAAUAUGUGCAGACAUUCACCCUCAUUAUUAUGCUCCAAACAAUAUGCCGUAAUAACUGUUUCACAGUAUCAGCCCUUACAGUUAACCAGGAACAUAUGUGCAUAUACUACAUGUAAGUACCAUGGUAUGUACACAAAGGUCCUGAGCUUCUAUUGAUUUGGGCAUCAGAUAGAUAUCUGUGGAUAGGUAGCACAUGUCUGUACUUACAGAACCUGAGAGGUGUCAGGAGGAUCAGGAGUUCAAGGUCAUCCUCAGGUUCAAGGCUGGUCUGGACUAGACGAGACCUUGUCUCACAAAACAAAACAAUUCAAAAUCAGUCUGAAACUGAGGGGCUCACCCCACUAGCUCUAAGCAAAGGAGAGAGGAGAAAAGCAAUGUUUGGGGAAAGCAAGGUCUAAAAGAAAAUAAAUCAAAUUUAGCUAGUUAUCAAGGAAUAUUUUUUGCACAGCAAAACAAAAGCCAAAUUGUUUUUCCUUAAGUAGCAAUUCUUAUCUCUUUAUUGCCAUUCAUUCAGUAAACAAUUAUUGACUGAUUGCCUUCAAUGUACCAAAGAUCACUGUACUAGAAGUAGAAACAGAAUAAUUAAAGCUAGAAAUGUUUAUAAUAAUAGCUAGCUUAACAGAUACUGAUCAUUAUUGGUGAGGGUGGUAAAACAUCAAAACCUGGUGGGAACUAGCUUUUUCUUUGGGGCCACAUCCAUUAUUACCACACAAAUAAUCUGUCUU